rnacentral:rRNA from 1 species
CAGGCCUAACACAUGCAAGUCGAGCGGAGCGAGGGUGCUUGCACCUUAGCUUAGCGGCGGACGGGUGAGUAAUGCUUAGGAAUCUGCCUAUUAGUGGGGGACAACGUUUCGAAAGGAACGCUAAUACCGCAUACGUCAUACGGGAGAAAGCAGGGGAUCUUCGGACCUUGCGCUAAUAGAUGAGCCUAAGUCGGAUUAGCUAGUUGGUGGGGUAAAGGCCUACCAAGGCGACGAUCUGUAGCGGGUCUGAGAGGAUGAUCCGCCACACUGGGACUGAGACACGGCCCAGACUCCUACGGGAGGCAGCAGUGGGGAAUAUUGGACAAUGGGGGGAACCCUGAUCCAGCCAUGCCGCGUGUGUGAAGAAGGCCUUUUGGUUGUAAAGCACUUUAAGCGAGGAGGAGGCUUACCUAGUUAAUACCUGGGAUAA